rnacentral:tRNA from 1 species
GCCCAGGUGGCGGAAUAGGCAUACGCUUCACACUUAAAAUGUGAUGCCGAACAGGCGUGUGGGUUCGAGUCCCACCCUGGGCA